GAGGAAUAUUGGUCAAUGGGCGGAAGCCUGAACCAGCCAAGUAGCGUGCAGGACGACGGCCCUAUGGGUUGUAAACUGCUUUUAUGCGGGGAUAAAGUGAGGGACGUGUCCCUUUUUGCAGGUACCGCAUGAAUAAGGACCGGCUAAUUCCGUGCCAGCAGCCGCGGUAAUACGGAAGGUCCGGGCGUUAUCCGGAUUUAUUGGGUUUAAAGGGAGCGUAGGCCGGGGAUUAAGUGUGUUGUGAAAUGUAGGCGCCCAACGUCUGACUUGCAGCGCAUACUGGUUCCCUUGAGUACGCGCAACGCCGGCGGAAUUCGUCGUGUAGCGGUGAAAUGCUUAGAUAUGACGAAGAACCCCGAUUGCGAAGGCAGCCGGCGGGAGCGCAACUGACGCUGAAGCUCGAAGGUGCGGGUAUCGAACAGGAUUAGAUACCCUGGUAGUCCGCACGGUAAACGAUGGAUGCCCGCUGUCGGCGCCUUGCGCCGGCGGCCAAGCGAAAGCGUUAAGCAUCCCACCUGGGGAGUACGCCGGCAACGGUG
rnacentral:rRNA from 1 species